rnacentral:rRNA from 1 species
GAUGAACGCUAGCGGCAGGCCUAACACAUGCAAGUCGAACGGUAACAUGAGAGCUUGCUCUCGAUGACGAGUGGCGCACGGGUGAGUAACACGUGUACAACUUACCUCUAACUGGGGCAU